rnacentral:rRNA from 1 species
CCUUCGGGAGGCAGCAGUGGGGAAUAUUGCUCAAUGGGGGAAACCCUGAUGCAGCGACGCCGCGUGAGGGAAGAAGUAUUUCGGUAUGUAAAGCUCUUUCAGCAGGGAAGAAAAUGACGGUACCUGAUUAAGAAUCCCCGUCUAACUACGUUCCAGCUGCGGCGGGACUAAGUAGGGGGCAAGCGUUAUCCGGAUUUACUGGGUGUAAAGGGAGCGUAGACGGCAGCAAAGGUCUGGGGUGAAAUGCCGGGGCGUAACCCAGUAACGGCUUUGGAAACUGUUGAGCUAGAGUGCAGGAGAGGUAAGUGGAAUACCUGGUGUAGCGGUGAAAGGCGUAGAAAUUAGGAGGAACCCCAGUGGCGAAGGCGGCUUACGGGACUGUA